UGCAGAUCUUGGUUGGCGUAGCAAAGAUCUAACGGAAAAAAACUCAACAUGCAACGUUGGAUGCUGGAGCGGGGAAGGAUUUCGUGCCAACGGCACUCGUACACGAGUUGUUCGGAUACUGAGCACAACGUUACACCGUUUUGUUAGGAAAGUGAAGGUGUGUCAGCGGUUGGGGUUCCUUACGGUUCCCCUUCCGCCUGGCCAUAACUGAAAAGGGGA
rnacentral:rRNA from 1 species